rnacentral:tRNA from 1 species
GCCGGAGUAGCUCAGUCGGCAGAGCGACGCACUCGUAAUGCGUAGGUCAGGGGUUCGAUUCCCCUCUCCGGCU